AUUGAACGCUGGCGGCAUGCUUUACACAUGCAAGUCGAACGAGUGGCGAACGGGUGAGUAAUAUUUCGGAACGUACCGAGUAAUGGGGGAUAACCAUUCGAAAGAUUGGCUAAUACCGCAUAUUAUUCGAGAGGCCGAUAACGGAUUAGCUCUUUGGUGGGGUAAAGGCCUACCAAGGCGAGGAUCAGUAGCGGGUCUGAGAGGACGAUCAGCCACACUGGGACUGAGACACGGCCCAGACUCCUACGGGAGGCAGCAGUGGGGAAUUUUGGACAAUGGGCGCAACCCUGAUCCAGCCAUGCCGCGUGUAUGAAGAAGGCCUUCGGGUUGUAAAGUACUUUUGUUAGGGAAGCGGUACCUAAAGAAUAAGCACCGGCUAACUACGUGCCAGCAGCCGCGGUAAUAC
rnacentral:rRNA from 1 species